AUAGCGUGAGGGCAAAAGAAUAGCACGCAGGCGCUGGAACGGAGAAGAAAACUGGCAGAUCAGUGGCGUGGGUGGCUUCGGUGAAGAAGCAGGGCUGUGUAGGUCUCGGUUUAGGGGGCUGAAUCGUGACGCCGUGAGUCUCAGUGUAGAGGACUGUGACUCGCCGCCGUGUGUCUCAGCUCAGCGGCGGUUUGAGCGUCGUUGUGGGCGUCAGUUCCAUUUGCUUGGAAGCUUUAAGAUAUCGAUUACAGGGGCAGCCAGAAAUGGGUCCUUUUUAAGAUGAAAUCGACGGUAACCUUGAUGUUAACAAUCGGUGGAGAUUGUGGUUAGCUUUCAGGGGAAUCUGAUUCUCAGUUUGUGUGGGUUAAUUGCUUCAUUGUAUCUCUGUAUUAACGACUUGAUGCUCUUACACUGUAAGUGGAGACUGCUGUCUGCUAGGAAUGUUCUGCAUUACUCGUACACUAAUAGCAUUACAUCCGUCCCAGUUGGUAACCCUCAAAACUGGCUGCUUUAUGCCAUCAGACGCUUUGGCCAUCAGCCAUCUACUACCAAUAUCUCUCCUGAUGAAGAGAAGGUGGAGGAUGAAGUCUUAAAUCAGAUUACUGCCACAAGGGAAAAUGCCUCGAUGUGUAGCCACGAAACCUUCGACAUUUGCAUCGAUAAGAUGUGUAGAUCAGACAAUCUUACAGCUGCUGCUCAACUACUUAAAUCAUCAUGUGAUAGGAAAAUAUCUCUUAGCUCCUCCAAGGCAUAUGAUAUGGUUUUGCUUGCAGCAAGUGAAAGAGGAGACACUACCCUUUUAUGUCAAGUAUUUAAAGAUUCUCUUGUUUCCCGUAAACCGUUGAGUUCGACCUCGUACAUGAAUUUUGCCAAGGCCUUUGCCAGGACAGAUGAUAGUAGCAAGCUACUGGAAUAUGUCAAAGAAAUAAUCGAGAUGACGUUUCCAAACUUCCUGGUCAUAAACAGAAUAAUCUUCGCCUUCUCCGAAUGUAGGGAGAUUGAUAAAGCCCUUCAGAUAUUUAAUCAGAUGAAGCUUCUGUCAUAUAGACCAGAUUUGUACACAUAUAACAUCAUUUUGGAUGCGCUAGGUCGUGCAGGUCGAAUGGAUGAAAUUCUUCAUAUGUUUGUUUCCAUGAAAGAAGAUGGCAUCGCCCCGGAUAUUGUGUCGUAUAAUACAUUAAUAAAUAGCUUAAGGAAGGUGGGUAGACUAGAUAUGUGCUUGAUUUACUUCAGGGAAAUGGUUGCAAUGAGAAUUGAACCUGAUUUGCUUACUUAUACUGCUUUGAUAGAGAGUUUUGGUCGAUCUGGAAACGUCGAGGAGGCUUUAACACUCCUCAGGGAGAUGAAGCUUAAGCAUAUCCGACCUUCGAGCUAUAUCUACAAGUCUCUCAUUAGUAAUUCAAUGAAGAUUGGGAAGGUGGAGUUGGCUAUGAACCUUCUCAAGGAGAUGAAAUUAAGUUAUUCAAAACUUGCUGGUCCAAAGGAUUUCAAACGAAAAAGAAGUUAACCAAUUACAAGGCUUUUCAUGGUGACUUUCAGGCUGAUAAACCUGUGGAUGGCUUUAAUCUUCAAACUGAGAUUUUCCAGAAUUACUGCUGUCUGUAGUAUGUAUGCUUCAGAGGGACAGAGUUCGGGAUUCAAAUCUAUAUCCAUAAAUACCAUAUCUUGACUCGAGCCAACUCAAUAAGGAAAACAUGACAUAAAGAAAGCUCAGAAUCUGUUUUUUUUUAUCUGGGUAAAGCUGCUUCUCUCCUUCCCCUCGUAACCUCGGUAGAGCUGCAGAGAUUACCUCGUUCCCUUAGGUUUGUUUGCUCUUGAACCUUUGACUCUUUUUCCUGACUUGAUUUCACGAGAUAAAGCAGUUGAGGAUUGCAACGUAUUUGACCUGGAAUUGAGGGACGAAGACGAAGAUGAAGAAUUGAUUGAUAACUUGAAAAUUAUUUGGGAGGACCGGUUUGUUGGUUUGAGAGAAUUGUACAGAGAAUGGGUAUGAAGAAACAGUUUCCUUGAGUGAACAGAAAAUC